rnacentral:rRNA from 1 species
CACGUAGGGGCCAAGCGUUGUCCGGAUUUAUUGGGCGUAAAGAGCUCGUAGGCGGUUCGACAAGUCGGGUGUGAAAACUCCGGGCUCAACCCGGAGACGCCACCCGAUACUGUCGUGACUGGAGUCCGGUAGGGGAGUGGGGAAUUCCUGGUGUAGCGGUGAAAUGCGCAGAUAUCAGGAGGAAUACCAGCGGCGAAGGCGGCGCUCUGGGCCGGUACUGACGCUGAGGAGCGAAAGCGUGGGGAGCAAACAGG